AGUGGUGCUUCAUGCUCGUCUGAUUGUCGUGUUGUGAGAUGUGUAGAGCGACGUUUCGGUAAUCGUAGGGAAAAGGAAAACCCGUGUUUUAUCAAAAAAAUGUACACAACUCAAAUCUAAAGUGAUUUUCUAAGUGAGUGUUAGUUGUAAAAUUAUGUGCGUUGAUUAGUGGUAGACAUGUUUCGGUGCAUACCCAUUUUUAAAGGCUGUAACAGGCAAGUGGAAACUGUUGAUAAGAGACAUUGUUCUUUAAUAAAUGUUCCCGAGGAGAUAUUAAGGUAUUCUAGGAGCCUAGAAGAGCUACUUUUAGACUCCAAUAGGAUACAAGUUCUUCCGAAGAACUUCUUUAGACUUCAUAGACUCCGCAAACUCGGUCUAAGCGAUAAUGAAAUCAACAACUUGCCGCCAGAUAUUCAAAAUUUCGAACAUCUCGUGGAAUUGGACGUCUCCAGAAAUGAUAUCCCUGACAUCCCCGAAAGCAUCGGCCAGCUGCGUUCCCUCCGAGUCGCAGACUUCAGUUCCAAUCCCAUACCUCGUCUUCCGCCGGCCUUCAUCCACCUCAAGUCACUCAGCGUGUUGGGCCUCAACGAUAUGUCGCUCACGUCGCUGCCUCAGGAUUUCGGCCAACUUAAGUCCCUCACGUCGCUCGAACUUAGAGAAAAUCUGCUCAAGGAAUUGCCCGCUUCUCUGUCGAAGUUGACCAACCUCGAAAGACUUGAUUUAGGCGAUAAUGAAAUUGAAGAAUUGCCAUCACACAUAGGAAAACUGCCAGCACUUCAAGAACUAUGGUUAGACCACAAUCAAUUACAAAGUCUCCCUCCAGAAAUAGGCCAACUGAGCAACCUAACAUGCCUAGAUCUAUCCGAAAAUCGCCUAGAGUAUCUUCCAGAAGAUAUUGCGGGCUUGGAAAGCCUAACUGACUUACAUUUAUCCCAAAAUGUAUUAGAAACUCUGCCCGACGGCAUAGGAAAGUUAGAAAAACUUACCAUCUUGAAGGUAGACCAAAAUAGACUAACAUCUUUAAAUUCUAACGUAGGCUAUUGCCACAAUCUACAAGAACUGAUCCUCACAGAGAACUUUUUAAGCGAAUUACCCGUAGAAGUUGGAAAAUUAAUCAAACUGACGAACUUGAACGUCGAUAGGAAUAGUCUUACUUUGGUACCCGAAGACAUAGGCAAUCUCUGCGAGCUAGGCGUGUUGAGUUUGAGAGAUAACAGACUUACUAUGUUGCCGGACACUCUCGGCAACUGCCGAAGACUCCACGUGUUGGACGUUUCUGGAAACAGACUGCCUUAUCUACCCUAUACGCUUCUUCAGUUGAGCUUGAAGGCUGUUUGGCUGAGCGAAAACCAGGCACAAUCUCUACUCACCUUCCAAACUGACACUGACCCGGAUACGGGUAAGACCGUACUGACGUGUUUCCUGUUGCCACAACAAGAAUACCAACCUACGAUAGCUUCCGACGGCCGCUUUUACCACCAUCACGAUCAUGAGCUAACGCCAGGUCUUUCUAAUGGUAGUACCUUGUCCCGUACAGAUGGCGCUGCGACCGAGGACGAAGACGACGACGACUGGCGGGAACACGAAGCCAGCCGAACACACUCCGUCAAAUUCACCGAUCCGCAAGAGAAGGACAAUCGAGAGACUCCAUUUGUCAGGCACAACACUCCUCAUCCGAAAGAGUUAAAGGCUAAGGCCCAUAAACUUUUCGGAAAAGGUCAAAAUUCACUAGAGGAAAGCGAACAACAUUCCAACGACAACAGUGCAAACACGCCCGAGGCCCUCAAUCUACAUGUAAAGCAGGUUCCUGAAUCGCCACAGAUAAUUGAACCUCCUCCAACUCGGACCGACUCUGCAGUAGGUAAUGGACAAGUGGAGGAAAGUGAGCAUAGCCAUGAUGAACAUGAUGAAGACACGGAUGAGGACCACGUGACUCUUCGCCGAGUCGGAUUCGUCGGGGGCGUGUCUUCGUCGUCGGACGAACGAGACUCGUCGUCGAAACCGAGUCGACUGCACAGGCGCGACACCCCCCACCAUCUCAAGAACAAACGAAUCACGUCGGUGACCAUCGACAAAGACAAGGUGGCUUCGAUUAUUGCACAGGCCCUUAAAAGGAAAGAAGACGAAAGUGACAGGACGAGUGGCGUUUCGACCCCUCCAGGCUCAGUCUCCGGAGGCGAUCGUAGUUGUUCUUCAAGUCAAGCUGGUGAUUCAGAUGCAGCAGUAGAACUCAGAGAAGAAAAAUAUGAAAUCCACAUUGAACGCUCCCAAACUGGAUUAGGGCUAUCGAUAGCAGGCGGGCACGGCUCAACUCCUUUCAAGGGCGAUGACGAAGGCAUCUUCAUUUCCAGAGUAACCGAAGGUGGUCCGGCCGAUCUAGCAGGAUUAAGAGUAGGAGAUAAAGUCAUAACCGUCAAUAGAGUCAACGUCGUUGACGUCAGUCACUACGAUGCAGUAGAAGUCUUGAAAGCAUCAGGUCCUGUGUUGAUUCUAGAAGUAACCCGAGAAGUUACCAGGUUGGUUAAGCCUCCGAACACGAUGGUAGCAACUAAGCACAGUCCAACACCUUCUCUUACGAAUACGUUGAACAAAAGCGCAAUACCCCCUCCAUUGCCUCCUCAAUUGGAAGAAGAGGUGCCCUUACAAAAAGUAUUAGUCCAUACAACAUUAAUUAGAGACUCAAAAGGUCUCGGUUUUAGUAUAGCAGGAGGCAAAGGCUCCCAACCCUUUAAGGCUGACAAUGACGCCAUCUACAUAUCACGCAUUACCGACGGAGGAGUCGCCGAUAGAGACGCGAAGCUCUCUGUAGGCGAUAAAGUAAUAUCAAUAAACGGCGUCGACUUAACGGGGGCCUCCCACGAUCAAACCGUAAGCAUGCUUACGGGAUUGGAAAGAUUCGUGAGACUGGUGGUUGAGAGGGAAGUGCCUCUGGAGAAAAACGGCGACGAGGCUAGUCCGGGACCUCAGCAAAGUCCGAGGUUGUUUGGAUUGCCCAAGCCGUAUACGGGACUGUAUGCUGCUAAUAGUUACAUGGCUAACCGACCUGGUUACGCGGGGUAUCGAAGAUCGAUGGAACUUGAUAAAAAGACUUCUGAAUCUCCAGAGCCAGUAAAGCCUCCAACGCCCACCCAGGUGUUACAAGAAACGCCCAAAACAAACGGAAUAGACCACAGCUCGACGAGAGAAGUACCCAAGCCAGCGCCGCGUCGUAUCAACUCUACUUCCAGCGAUUCGUCCACGGCACCAAUCAAUCCUACAGCUCAAACCGCUUCCAGCGCCAAGCCACAAACCAACCACAAGAAAACCUCUUCGAAUUCCUCCCUCGAGGAUGACACCCAGGUAUUUGCGAGGCCCAUCACAAGCGAAGAGUUCCAGGCGAUGAUACCGCCCCAUUUCCUUAAACAGCCCCCUCCCGCCAAAACCUCCCCCACCCCCACCGCGACUACUCCUACCGGGUAUGAUAGUCACGCGAAUUCCGUCACGACGGUCACGAUAAAACGACCGGAACCGCCUAUCGAGCUGCCCCCCUCGCCGAAGGGGCCGGGGCGAGUCACCGAGACCAUUACCAAGAGUACCUUUACCGAAACUGUGGUCACUAGGAUAACGGACAAUAAGUUGGUAGAGCCACUGAUUAUAGAGGACGUUACGUUAAGUAAAUUAGGAGGAUCCUUAGGUUUCAGUAUUAUAGGAGGUACAGAUCAUUCCAGUAUUCCAUUCGGAUCCAAGGAACCGGGAAUUUUCAUCUCACAUUUGGUUCCUGGUGGUAUAGCUGCUAAAAGUGGUAAACUCAAAGUUGGUGACAGAAUUUUAAAAGUCAAUGGCACAGACGUCACUCAUGCUACCCAUCAAGAAGCUGUUAUGGAGCUUCUAAGACCUGGAGAUCAAAUUUCGCUUACAAUUAGGCACGAUCCAUUGCCCGAAGGAUAUCAGGAAUUGUUUAUUGAAAAAACAGAUAACGAAAAACUUGGCAUGCACAUAAAGGGCGGUCUUCAGGGUCAGCGAGGUAAUCCUCUGGACAGAUCGGACGAAGGUAUUUUCGUAUCGAAAAUCAACUCUGUGGGGGCAGCAAGGCGAGAUGGAAGACUCAAAGCUGGCAUGAGAUUAUUAGAAGUUAAUGGAAAAUCAUUAUUAGGUGCAACUCAUCAGGAAGCUGUUAAUGCUUUAAGAGCUUGCGGAAACAUGAUUCACAUGGUAGUUUGCAAAGGAUAUGAUAAAGGUGAUAUAGACAGAGCAGUCCAUGAGGGCAGAUUGACAAGAGGAGGGUCCGUUAGCAGUCGUUCGCAGAGCGUUAGCUCUUUAGACGUACCAGAAGACGACCUACAGGACUUGAAAGUAAAAUCUGAAUUGCUUCAGUUGGAAAAGGAUGAAGUUGAGAAGCGAUUACAGCCGAUCCAUCAAGAAGAAGAGGAAUUUUCUUUAGUAGAAGCAAAACCACCUUCUCCUGCGGAUAAGGUUUUAGACGUGGUAAGAGCAGUAGAGACUCUAGCACACGGUCCGAUGGAAAAUUCAGUUCCUCCAAAGUCUCCAAAUUCGGAACUAAAAACUACUACGAUAGUUAUGAGCAAACAUACGCUAGCACCUCAACCUACCACUGACGAGCUAAUGCAUGUCUCUACGCUACCGAAAACGACACAGCCUAAAGUGGAUGUGGAAACAGAAAGCAAAAGUCACUCUAUUGACAAUGAACAGCAUGCUUCCGUCACUAAAGAUACUGAUAACGAUUCUUUACAAAACGUGAUCCCACCUCCUUCCAUCUAUUCUGAAUGUGAACCUAACAAUAAUGUAUCUAAUAUGUACUUUAACAAUCAACAUGUACCUACCAAUGUAACAUACUCGAUACCUCAACCGGUAGUUACUAGUGACUUUAAUUCCAACACGUUUUCGUUCAACGUUCCACCUAAUGAGAAUCAGUUCCAUAUUAACGUCUACAACACUAUACCUCAGCUACAACCACAAGCAUUUAGAUAUGAUUACGUUCCUAAUUUUACUGAUAUACCAAUCGUUCCUUCUCCUGAUUCUAGUCUUACAUAUAUGCUUGAAGAUUCUCAAAUUAUCAAAGUUCCACCGCCCCCUCCUAUGGACUUCGACGAUUAUUCCAUAAAAUCCGAUUCACCUCCUCCUUUACCAUCCACUUCCCCUCCUCCCCUGCCAAAAUCUCCACUACCUACAGAAGACGACGACAUUGUAUCCACAACCGAAAAAGUUCUGGAAACUUCAGUUCAAGUCUCAACAACUACAACCAUAAAUCCAACUAAUAAACAUCAUGUAACUAUUACAGAAGAAGAAGAAGUUACAGAGUAUACAGAACCACCUAUAGGAGCGCUGAAGAAAAUUGUAGCCAGCUUAAGAGACGACAUCGUAGCUCAUACCACUGUUCCAGGAGAUGUAGAGGUUUGUGUUACCGCUCCAACAGUAGUGCAAACACAAGUCAGUAGAACAGUUGAUUUGUCUUCUCCAACAAUAGAAAAUACUGAUAAACAAAUCAGUCAACUUUGUACAAAUAUACACGAUGCUUUGCAGGCAGCUACUAAUAUAGAUCGAACAAUAGAACAAACUAACAGAAUGUUUGUAACUAGUUUGACCGAAACAGAUCGGAUUAUUUCUUCUAAAAAACAUGUAUCAUAUCUAACUGAUGACUCAGACAACAUCGAAGUAUCUAUCAUCCCUUCAGACCAAGGAAUGUUAAGGAAACCAAAAGAUGAUCAAUUAAAACCAAACAACGAAUCAGAAUCGAUCAAUAGGAAAUUUGUAAGAAGUUGGGUAGAAACGGAAGAAAGGACGUCUUCACUUCCAGCAAGAAAACUUGUCACUAGCUUGAUAAUCGAUACACCCUCAAACGAAAAGCAACAAGUGCAAUAUUCCCAAAUCAUAGCACCUACACCAUUCAAAAUAACAAAACAAAUUUCCCAAACAUCUGAACCUCGUUCACCUACCACUCCAACCAGACGAAUUGCUCGACCUCAAGUCCCUCCCCCACCAGUACCCAUCGCUAAACUAGCUUCACCUCCCCAAAUUCAAGCCAAGAAAAUUCCACCCCCAGUACCUGCCAAGAUUUCUAAAUUGAACCCUGCUCGCAGUGAAAAUGAUUUAUUAGACCCUGUUGGUUCUGUCAAAAAAAGCAACCAGUCCGCUAGACCUGUUUCUUUUGUAUUUUCUGAUAAAAAGGAUUUGGGAUUCGUUAGCGGAAAUUUAGGGAAGUAUGGUACUGUGGCAAAGCCUCCACAAUCUCCCCAACACAAUGCUCCCAAGCAGUCGGUGAGCGAUAGAAAGAAAUUUUUCGAAUCGGCGAUGGAAGAGAGCCAAAAACCUUCUAAACCAGAAAAAGUCUUUAGCUAUCUUAGUGCGGACGAAUUAGAGAAGUUAAAAGCAGAAGAAGAGAGAAAAAUUGCAACACUUUCAGCUUCCGAUAUUAAUUCCUUACAUUCUUUACACGAAUUGGAUCAUUCUGAUGGAGAAUCAGCUGAAUCACAACGUUCAAGGCCUUCGAGUACUAUCGGUAUAGUACGUACAGCAAAGGCAGAACGACGUCUGAGAGAUCAACUUCGAGAAGAAGGACUUUUGACCGACGAAGACGAUCCUCCCCUCUCACCAGCCGAAGAACGCGCCCUCCGAGCCGAAAAGAGAGCUGCCUGGAGAGCUGCCAGACUCAAGUCCCUCGAACACGAUGCCAUGCAAGCGCAGAUGGUCAUCAAGAGUAUGACGGAUAUUGUUAGAUCCGGGGAAGUACCCAUGCCUAUAACGACAGAAAUUAGUGAUACAGACGGGCUUCCACAAACAAAUGAGUUACGUCCCUCGAGUGCCGAUUUCCCCAAGCUGGCCGUGAGGACGAAACCCGGCAACACGACCGUUAGAGAGAGCGAGAAGGUGUUGGGAGAAACGAUUACGAGAAAGACGGAGGAAUACAUCGACGAAAACGGCGAGAAACGAGUGAGAACUGUGGAGUACGUAGAGAAGCUGAUUGAGAGAGAGGUAUAAGAAAGCAAAAAUUGAUGGCUUAUGAAAUCAGCAUGACUCUCUUUUGUGCACCAUUCUGGUGGAACAAAUCCAAGAAAAAAUCAUAUCACUAGAAUUAACGAAAUACGACGACGUUCUGAAGCCGCAGUCCCUUAAACUAGACCAGGACGAAAA
rnacentral:misc_RNA from 1 species